UACAGAGGUCUCAAGCGUUGUUCGGAUUCAUUGGGCGUAAAGGGUGCGUAGGCGGCGCGGUAAGUCGGGUGUGAAAUCUUGGAGCUUAACUCCGAAACUGCAUUCGAUACUGCCGUGCUUGAGGACUGGAGAGGAGACUGGAAUUUACGGUGUAGCGGUGAAAUGCGUAGAUAUCGUAAGGAAGACCAGUGGCGAAGGCGGCGACCUGGGUAGAUACUGACGCUGAGGCGCGAAAGCGUGGGGAGCAAACAGG
rnacentral:rRNA from 1 species